UACAGAGGUCUCAAGCGUUGUUCGGAUUCAUUGGGCGUAAAGGGUGCGUAGGUGGCGCUGUAAGUCGGGUGUGAAAGCCCUGGGCUCAACCCAGGAAGUGCACUCGAAACUGACAGGCUUGAAUAUGGAAGAGGGUCGCGGAAUUCCCGGUGUAGAGGUGAAAUUCGUAGAUAUCGGGAGGAACACCAGUGGCGAAGGCGGCGACCUGGGCCAAUAUUGACGCUGAGGUGCGAAAGCGUGGGGAGCAAACAGG
rnacentral:rRNA from 1 species